rnacentral:rRNA from 1 species
GACGAACGCUGGCGGCGUGCUUAACACAUGCAAGUCGAACGAAGUGGCGAACGGGUGAGUAACGCGGACUCAACCUGCCCUUCAGAGGGGGACAACAGUUGGAAACGACUGCUAAUACCGCAUACGGAAGAAGGGGAUUGCGUCUGAUUAUCUAGUUGGAGGGGGAACGGCUCACCAAGGCGAUGAUCAGUAGCCGGGCUGGGAGGAUGAACGGCCACAUUGGGACUGAGACACGGGCCAGACUCCUACGGGAGGCAGCAGUGGGGAAUAUUGUACAAUGGGCGAAAGCCUGAUCAAGCCAUGCCGCGUGUGUGAAGAAGGUCUUCGGAUUGUAAAGCACUUUAAGUUGGGAGGCGUUACCAACAGAAUAAGCACCGGCUAACUUCGUGCCAGCAGCCGCGGUAAUUC